AGAGUUUGAUCAUGGCUCAGGAUGAACGCUGGCGGCGUGCUUAACACAUGCAAGUCGAACGGGGUGCCUAUGAUAGAGGAUUCGUCCAAUUGAUUAGGCUACCUAGUGGCGGACGGGUGAGUAACGCGUGAGUAACCUGCCUUGGAGUGGGGAAUAACAGUCCGAAAGGACUGCUAAUACCGCAUGAUGCAGCGAGGUCGCAUGGCCUUGCUGCCAAAGAUUUAUCGCUCUGAGAUGGACUCGCGUCUGAUUAGCUGGUUGGCGGGGUAACGGCCCACCAAGGCGACGAUCAGUAGCCGGACUGAGAGGUUGGCCGGCCACAUUGGGACUGAGACACGGCCCAG
rnacentral:rRNA from 1 species